GCCAAGGCUUGUAGUGUAAACACGACUAAGAUUCUGAGACAACCGAGUCGACCACCGAAGGUGCGAGCCUCUACAGGGAUCUGGGGGCAUGCCCGCCCAGAAAAUUUUGAAUUUCUUGAAGCUCAGAUAAGCUAUUUCCGGCAUUUCGAGGAGUUUUCCAACAAGAAGUUAAACAGUGACAAAAUUACUGCAAUUUCACGGUCUCCAAAAUGUAAUCCAGUCCCAAUAAGGCAACAUGGUGUGACGAUGCGGUAAUGAAAAUGUGCGUGGUAUAGUAUUAUCAUUCACCACAUUUCAAAUUCUACAGUACUGUAUUACAUGCAUGUAUUGGGGUACUUGAAAUCGAUGCAUUCAUCUUCUCAAUGUCACUGAAGAGCGAGAUAGGGUGGUUUCUUUGGAGUAUCUUUGCUUGGAAAAACUAAACUAGAAUUUCGUCCUAAAAUGCCAUUUCAUGCUUUGUUCCACGAGCAAAUUAUUCCAGCCAUG